UUACUGGUAGGUUAAUAUAAACUAGCAAAUUGUGGUUUUGUUGAUUACUCUUUUGUAUC
rnacentral:tRNA from 1 species